rnacentral:rRNA from 1 species
UACGUAGGUGGCAAGCGUUAUCCGGAUUUACUGGGUGUAAAGGGCGUGUAGGCGGGAUCGCAAGUCAGAUGUGAAAACUGGAGGCUCAACCUCCGGCCUGCAUUUGAAACUGUGGUUCUUGAGUACUGGAGAGGCAGACGGAAUUCCUAGUGUAGCGGUGAAAUGCGUAGAUAUUAGGAGGAACACCAGUGGCGAAGGCGGUCUGCUGGACAGCAACUGACGCUGAGGCGCGAAAGCGUGGGGAGCAAACAGG